UGAAGGCACAGUAGGGCUGCUUUGCCCUGCACAGCGAAUUACAGCGAGUUCCCUAAUGAAAACACCACACCCAUUGCUUUUAAGUAUUCACUCAUCCAUUCAAUUUACAAGUGUCUACUUAGCACUUACUGAUGCUAAAGAUAAAAAGCUAAGAUCAGUCUUUCACAUUAAAAAGCUUAUAACACAUCCUCUAUUUAAGACUAUCUUAAAUGCUAAGUUUUUUAAGGGAAAGGAUGACAUCCUACAGCCUGUGACCUACUGGGGCACAUAUUCUUCAUCUGUAAAAUGUGAUUAUUAUUAAUAAUAGUGCCUACCUCCGAGGGCUGAGAUAAUGCAGAUAAGCAGUUAACACAGUGCCUGGCACAUAUAGUGAGCUCCCAGUAAUUUUGGGUAUCUUUUCAUUGUUGUUGUCAUUAUAAUACAUUGCCUCCCAUGGUUGUGUGCCAGAAGUUGGAGGAAGAAGAAAAUAUCAAGGUACCAAACAAGGUGAGAGACCCGUUGCUCAUGCCUUUUGUUCCCUUUAACUCCCCAGAACCUCUACAACGUCUGCAGUUAGCUUUCACCAGCAACCUUGUAGGCAAGACCCUACAGAAGGCAAGAGAGAAGUGCAGACUAAGAAGGACUUCAUAGGAAAUUUACAUGUCAAAAUGGGAAGAAGAAACAGUAAAUAGGGUGAUAUCAGCCAGGUCUCAUGCUACAAGCUGCAGAUACAACAAUGAAGAAGACAGAGUCCCUAAAGGAGAUGCUGAAUUUUCAAAGAAGGCAGCAAAUUGAAGGCAGUUGGAGAAGAAGGAGGCACAUCAGCGGUUGCCUAGAGACGCGCGCGCGACCACCUGGAGACUCACCUGCGCGGGGGGCCGCUGCCGCCACCACCGCAGCCUCCGCCGCAAACACUCCGGGCACCGGGAAGUUUCUAAACUUUGGACCUAUUGAGAUUAGGUAAAUCCCUGGCCAGCAUAAAAAUUAUAGUUCCAAGAAAGAAAUGAAGGUGAACUUAGCCAUGAUAGUGAACAUGGAAUUUGGUAAGUAUUGGGUGAAAGAAAUCAUGUGGGCUAUAACUGAGUGGAGACCAGGGUAUUUUGGAGGUGUCCGGGUAAGUAAUCAUGUGUCCUAAGCACAGGAAUGACCAUGGGAUUUUGAGGUUCCAAUGACUAGAUGAUUGUGAACUUAACAGUGGAAGUAAAUGUGAGAAAUUACUGGUAUCCAGAUAAGAGAUGACACUGGCCUUCAAUACAUUAGAGAUUUAUGAUUUUCAAUUAUUUAGGUAAGUGAUGAUGGUGUCCCAAUCUCUUACUGUAACUAUGUGUUUUUGCAGGAAUUCAGUUAAGGAACAAUGAUGUCCCUAACAACUGUAGGGACCAUGAGAUUCUACAGUUUUCUAGUUUAAAUAUAAUUUCUCUUAAGCCCUGAUAGUGAAUAAGGGAUUUGUAAGUAUGCAAAUUACCAGGUUGUUCCUCAGCACGGUAGUAAUGCAGGGAUUUUUCUGGGUAUCCAGUCAUGAGAUAAUGGUGACUCUAACUAGAUGCUGACCUCAAAGUUCUGCAAGUAUCAAGGUGGAAUUGUUGAUGAUUCCCCCAAUGAUGGUGGAGUCCAUGGGAUUUUUCAGGGUUCCAGGUAGAAGAAGGUGUUUUCCUUUAACAUAGUUGUCCUCAUUUUUAAAAAACAAGCUCCAGUCAAGAAAUGAUGAUGAACCUAACAAUGGUAGUGAAAGUAGCACUUUGCUGGUAUCCAGGUAAGGAACACGUACAGUAUACACCAUCUCAUUUUCAGAUACCUAGAAAGGGAUGAUGGUAUCACUAACAUUUGUUAGUACCAUGUUUACUUCUAGCUAUUCUUGUAAUAAAUAUGUGUCCAUACCAAUACGAGUGAGCAAGACAUUGUACUGUUUUUCUAGUUUAGAGAUAAUGUGUGUAUAACACUGGAAGUAACUAGGGUUUUGCAGGUAUCUAGGUAACUUCUCAGGGAUUUACUCAGUGUAGAAGGGCUCAUGUGAUUUUUGCAGGUGCCCAGUCAAGAGUGAUGGUGUCUCUAACUAAGGUGUUGACCUUGACAUCUUAAAUCAUCCGGGUGGAGGUGAUGGAAACGGAACGUGGUGAACCUAACUAUGGUCAUUAACGUGGGGCACUGCUGGAUCCCAGGUAGUGUGGAAGUGGGCCUUCACUGCAGUACAGACCAUCUGAUCUUCUGAUAUCUAGGGGUCCAGGCAAGACAAGUUGGUUUCCCUAACCGUGGGCUGACCUUGGAGUCCUGCAAGUAUCCAGGUUCCAGUCAAGAGGUCUCGGUAAGAUAAAGCUGCUUGCUUACGUAGGAUAUUGUGGCAUCCAGGCAAGGGAUGAUAUGACCUUUAACCGCUGCACAGACCCUCAUGUCUUCAGUUAUCUAAGUAAGUGAUGAGGAAAUCCCUACCACCUUUGGUGCCAUGUUUCCUUGCAGAAAUUCAGGUAAGAAAUGACAGUCUCCUUACCAAUACUACUCAUCAUGCGGUCUUAGCAUUUGCUGCCUCAGAGACUCGGGAUGGCCAGCACUGGUAGUAGUGAGGGAGGGAUUCAGAGUAUCCAGAUAAGUUAUCAUCAUGUUCCUCACUGAAGCGAUGACCAUGGGAUAUUUGCAGGGCAGUCAAAAGAUGCUUUGGCUUCUAAUUUCAGUGCUGACCUUGGAUUUCUGCAAGUUGUCAGUUUCCAGUGCAGACAUCCUGUCUGAGCCGCAGUGGCCGUUAACUUUGGAUACUGCUGGAAUUCGGGGAAGGGGUGAUGCGGGCCUUAGCCACAGUGCAGACCACCUGAGCUCUCCCAUAGCUAGGUCAAGACAAUUAGGUUGUCUCCCUGACUACAGUUUUGACUCUGGAAUUCUCCUGCUCUCCAGGUUGAGGUCAAGAUAUCCCGAUGAACCUGACAAGGGUUGUUAACAUGGGACGUGGCUGCUAUCCAGAUAAAUGAUUACAAGGGCCCGAACCACAGCAUGGACCCUCUGAUCUUCAGCUAUCCAG